GGGGCUGUAGCUCAGUGGUAGAGCACUUGCCUAGCAUGUGUGAAGCAGUGGGUUUGAUCCUCAGCACCA
rfam:Ictidomys tridecemlineatus contig037949, whole genome shotgun sequence.